rnacentral:lncRNA from 1 species
AAUUGAAAUUUGAUGAUAUUUAUAAAGGACAAAAUCUUUUUUGGGUCACCCCAAGUGACAGGUCCCUGUGACCAUUAGACUGUUUUGAAAUGGCUGGCACAUGCCACUCCUAAAUCCAAAGCUUUAUAUUUACGCAAUAUGGUGCCACAUGACACUCUCCAUCCCACCUUCCAUUUUGCAAAUUCUCUUUUGAACAAGAAUCUGUCUUAGACUGGCUAAGUAUGCAAGUAAAUACUUCUAUUAUUAUAUAUGGCUAUUUAUUAAUCUAUUUUAAAUAUUAAUGCUACAUUCAAAUGACAUGGAAAAGAACAACAGAGAGGGUCAGAUGACAGUUUUUUCUGGGGUUGGGUAUUUCAUUCUCCGAAUGAUAUUUGAAAAGAUGCAAUCCAGUACUUUGACAGAAUAAACAAAUUGCAUCUUGUUUUCCUUCAGCUUACCUCUUUAUCAUGCACAGAAGUCUCUAGUGGAAAUACCCAAAGGCCAAAUUUUUCAGUUUUUCUGGGACCAGAUUCAAUUGCAAAUAUAAUGUGAAAGAUGCCUGAUUCACCAUAAAUGAAAUGUUGUUUACUGAACUGACAAACCACUGCACUUGUUUGCUUUGAUGCUGGAACUGUAAAAUAAGAUGCACUUAUUUAGUAAUAUAACACAGAAUAUUAAUCGAGGAAUUGUUCCUUUUGUUGUUAGUGCUGACUGUUCCUGACACAUUCUUAAGGAUUUACAUUAGAAGACUCUGCUUUGCACAGAAUGGACGUUUCAUCAUGGUCUAGAAUUCCUGCAUCAUCAUGGUCUAGAAUUCCUGCAUCAUUUGGUGUUGUCUGCCUGUCCAUAAGGAAGUUUAUAUGGUCUGUUAUCCCGACACAACCAACUACUACACCAAACAUUUGCCUGUGGGGAGUGGAUGGGGGGGAACUAGCGAAGGGAUGGGUGCAGGAGGGCCAGGAGUUCUUUUCCAUGUAGCUAGAAUGUAACAAUAUUUAAAAUGAUGUUUCAAAUAUUGAUUAGUUUAAUAGAGGACCUGAACAUUGUUUGCAUAAAAAAGCUGAGUUUAAGUAAGUAAAGGUCCUGUCAUUAGUAAUAAAGUUGUUGGGAUAACACUGGAACUCA